GACAAACGCUGGCGGCGUGCUUAAUACAUGCAAGUCGAACGGUCCUCUUUAGGGAGGAUAGUGGCGGACGGGCGAGUAACACGUAGAUAACCUGCCCAAUAGUGGGGAAUAACAGCUCGAAAGAGUUGCUAAUACCGCAUAAGCUCUCACUUGCUAGGGUGAGAGGAAACCUGCUCUGUGAAAAGGGUGGGGCUAAAGGAUGGGUCUGCGGCGGAUUAGCUAGUUGGUAGGGUAAGAGCCACCAAGGCGACGAUCCGUAGCUGGUCUGAGAGGACGGCCAGCCACACUGGGACUGAGACACGGCCCAGACUCCUACGGGAGGCAGCAGUAAGGAAUAUUCCACAAUGGGCGAAAGCCUGAUGGAGCGACGCCGCGUGAGGGAAGAAGGCCUGG
rnacentral:rRNA from 1 species